CGCGGCCUAUCAGCUUGUUGGUGGGGUAACGGCCUACCAAGGCAGCGACGGGUAGCUGGUUUGAGGGAACGAUCAGCCACACUGGGACUGAGACACGGCCCAGACUCCUACGGGAGGCAGCAGUAGGGAAUCUUGCGCAAUGGGCGAAAGCCUGACGCAGCAACGCCGCGUGCGGGAUGACGGCCUUCGUGGUUGUAAACCGCUUUCAGCAGGGACGAAAUUGACGGUACCUGCAGAAGAAGCCCCGGCUAACUACGUGCCAGCAGCCGCGGUAAUACGUAGGGGGCGAGCGUUGUCCGGAAUCAUUGGGCGUAAAGAGCUCGUAGGCGGUUCAGUAAGUCGGGUGUGAAAGCUCCGAGCUCAACUCGGAGAGGCCACUCGAUACUGCUGUGACUAGAAUCCAGUAGGGGAGUGUGGAACUCCUGGUGUAGCGGUGAAAUGCGCAGAUAUCAGGAAGAACACCAGCGGCGAAGGCGGCACUCUGGGCUGGUAUUGACACUGAGGAGCGAAAGUGUGGGUAGCAAACAGGAUUAGAUACCCUGGUAGUCCACACCGUAAACGUUGGGCACUAGGUGUGGGGAGGAUCAACCCUUUCCGUGCCGUAGCUAACGCAUUAAGUGCCCCGCCUGGGGAGUACGG
rnacentral:rRNA from 1 species